GAACGGUAACAGGAAGAAGCUUGCUUCUUUGCUGACGAGUGGCGGACGGGUGAGUAAUGUCUGGGAAACUGCCUGAUGGAGGGGGAUAACUACUGGAAACGGUAGCUAAUACCGCAUAACGUCGCAAGACCAAAGAGGGGGACCUUCGGGCCUCUUGCCAUCGGAUGUGCCCAGAUGGGAUUAGCUAGUAGGUGGGGUAACGGCUCACCUAGGCGACGAUCCCUAGCUGGUCUGAGAGGAUGACCAGCCACACUGGAACUGAGACACGGUCCAGACUCCUACGGGAGGCAGCAGUGGGGAAUAUUGCACAAUGGGCGCAAGCCUGAUGCAGCCAUGCCGCGUGUAUGAAGAAGGCCUUAGGGUUGUAAAGUACUUUCAGCGGGGAGGAAGGGAGUAAAGUUAAUACCUUUGCUCAUUGACGUUACCCGCAGAAGAAGCACCGGCUAACUCCGUGCCAGCAGCCGCGGUAAUACGGAGGGUGCAAGCGUUAAUCGGAAUUACUGGGCGUAAAGCGCACGCAGGCGGUUUGUUAAGUCAGAUGUGAAAUCCCCGGGCUCAACCUGGGAACUGCAUCUGAUACUGGCAAGCUUGAGUCUCGUAGAGGGGGGUAGAAUUCCAGGUGUAGCGGUGAAAUGCGUAGAGAUCUGGAGGAAUACCGGUGGCGAAGGCGGCCCCCUGGACGAAGACUGACGC
rnacentral:rRNA from 1 species